GGCGGCUGCCGUCGCCGCCGCAGGAGGCCGGAGUUCUGGUGGUGGGAUUACCGCCAGAUAGCACUUGGCCCUCCUCCUGGGCUUCCUGAUCCUUUCCUCCGCCCACUCGUCCAUGUCCAUCCGCCCCCUUAUCGCCUCGGUGCGGAUGCCCGACGGAGACCAAGUGCGAGAUGUUCCUGCGCCCGUGCGGCGGCACCAACCACCGGAACGGCGACCUGCUGCCGCGCAGUGGCCACCGUGCUGCAGAACAGCCACCCAACCCUGCACCCUUGAUCGGGAGUGCCCCCAAGUAACAGUCACCGCGGCGCCCUCCCCCUCCGGCCGCCUGCAACCUACUUCGGGAGUUGAGGGAACCUGAGUUGGUGUAUGAUCUUUCUACAGACUAAGAGUGUUGAGAAGCGAGACCCUGCACUGGAUCAGUCUCCUAAAGACAAUCUGGAGUUCGCUCUCAAGAUCAACAAUCUCCAACUCCAAGACCUGCAAUUGCUCCUCCUUGCACACAACUCUCUUCUUCUGGAAUGCCUUGAACCACAUGCUAAUGGCACACAUUAUCAGAAAUUGACCGGGCACAUCAUUAAUCAAGCUAGCAGCCUGCUGGGCUUAGCAGAAGUGGUACCUGAUGCUACUGCUGCAAGAUGCGCAGCCGCUGUGCCAUUGAUGCGCGGGACUUGCGGUCCUCCCUCCGUGCAUAUGCUCUGUGUGGGUGUGGCCUCUGACAGGCGGUGCGCUGGUGCGCCUGAGGCUGCGAGCGCCCGUCCGCGACAGCCCUACCCGCCGUCCUGGCGGCAAGCGAGGUCGUUGUUGCGGACGAAGAGCGAAGCCAAGACAGGGAGCCGAGGGCCCACGCGGAGCAGGGGCGGCAACAGCAUUCCAGCGUGAGUCGCUCAGAUUUCUCACGCUUUUCAGAUGAGCUCAUGCAGCGGCGAUGCAAGAACCAGCUUCAAUUGGAUUAAAUCCGCGCGAGGAAAAGGAUGACGGAGACUGCAAACCCAUGUGCGGCGGCAGCGCGGACUCGACCGGUGUGGCAUGCCCUGGCACUUUGGCGAAGCGUGGCACGAGCAGCGGUGCAGCCGGAUUUGUUGUGGAGCUCAUCAAUGGCGCUAGUGAAGGGGAGGGGAGAGAGGGAAGUGCGGCGCCAGAGGAAGGCCUGUGCGGAGAGAUGGAAGAGGGUGAGCGGCAGGGGGAGAUCGACAUGGAAAGCGGGAUCGGAGCCCCUUGAUGGCCGCCACGGUGAGAGAGCGCAGCGAUGGAGGGACCGAGGGAGGCCGAGUGGGCUUGGUCUGCCUCAGCCUCGAGCGAUACGAAGACGAACGACGGGAACGGGAGGAGCGAGCUGUUUGAGAAGAGUCGGGAGAAUGCUAGAGCUGGACGACGCGCCGUACCGGAUGCUGACGGUACAAUUUAACUUAGCCUGAUGACGGACGGUCGAGAUUUUUGUAAUGACGUGGCCCAAUCGCUGCUGGAGUUUCCGUCCAACUUUCGUCUUGAAGAGAUAGGGAAAGAUGUUGAAGCAACUGCAUAGCCCAACCAGCAGACAGCACGAAUCAUUCUCAUGUGCGAUCAUGAUGACCUGCAACAGAAUCCACUCAACCCAAGAAGCCUCGCUGGAUGAGCUUGAUUAGGAGGCUGUCAUGUCUGCAUUGUGGGUGGCAAACUGAACUGCACGGGUGAAGGGCCAUCGAGUUUAGUAUCAGAUUCAGAUCAUGGUGACUGAAUUGACAUACAAGUUGCCUGUGGAAGAACAAGCAGCAUGUUGACUUUGCCUCACCUCCAGGCUCCAAAGACAUGUUUAACCAGCUGGUCACAGCAUUACACAACGGAUCAGUAAUAGUCUUUGUACAGUUGUAUGCAUGUUUCUGUUCUUCAUUGCAUGCUUGUUCCAUCAUCCCCACGUGUUUCUGCAAUUUCCUAGCACAUUAGGUGCACCUCUUAAAUAAAGAGAUUAUUAUCACA